AACGAACGCUGGCGGCAGGCCUAACACAUGCAAGUCGAGCGAGGACUUCGGUCCUAGCGGCGGACGGGUGAGUAACGCGUGGGAACGUGCCCUUUGCUUCGGAAUAGCCCUGGGAAACUGGGAGUAAUACCGGAUGAGCCCUUUGGGGGAAAGAUUUAUCGGCGAAGGAUCGGCCCGCGUUGGAUUAGGUAGUUGGUGGGGUAAUGGCCUACCAAGCCGACGAUCCAUAGCUGGUUUGAGAGGAUGAUCAGCCACACUGGGACUGAGACACGGCCCAGACUCCUACGGGAGGCAGCAGUGGGGAAUCUUAGACAAUGGGGGAAACCCUGAUCUGCCAUGCCGCGUGAGCGAUGAAGGCCUUAGGGUUGUAAAGCUCUUUCAGCUGGGAAGAUAAUGACGGUACCAGCAGAAGAAGCCCCGGCUAACUCCGUG
rnacentral:rRNA from 1 species